CUCCUGAGAUGGGUGCCUUGGUUCAUCCCAGCCACCCUGGAGCCUCCCCACUCGGCCCUGCCAAGGCUUUCUCCUGCGGGGGCAAGGUCAAUGUCACCUGUGGCUGGGGAGGGGCCGGGCAGGGAUUUUGAUGUCACAGCACUGACAACAAGGACCAGAAAGAGAUGACAGCUGACUUUGAACCCUUCUCCAUUGUCCUAGACUUUGUGAUUGCAGAGCAAAGAAGGGGGGAGAAAAGUCUAUGGAUGGGGCUGUGAUUUAUGUAUAUAUGCAUGUGUAUGUAUGUAUAUAUGCAUAUUUGUGUAUAUAUGUAUGUGUGUAUGUAUAUAUGCAUGUGUGUAUGCGUAUAUGCAUGUGUGUGUAUAUGCAUGUGUGUAUGUAUAUGUGUAUGUGUAUAUAUGUAUGUGUAUGUAUAUAUGCAUGUGUGUAUAUGCAUGUCUGUAUGUGUAUAUGCGUGUGUAUGUAUAUAUGCAUGUGUGUGUAUACAAGCAUGUGUGUACGUGUAUAUGCGUGUAUGUGUAUAUAUGCAUGUGUGUAUGUAUACAUGCAUGUGAGUGUAUAUAUGCAUAUGUGUAUGUAUAUAUGUAUGUGUUUAUGUAUAUAUGCCUAUGUGUAUAUAUGUAUGUGUAUGUAUAUAUGCAUGUGUUGUGUAUAUGCACGUCUGUUUUUGCGUGUGUGUAUGUAUAUAUGCAUGUGUGUAUGUAUAAUGGUAUAUGUGUGUAUGUAUAUAUACAUGUGUGUAUAUGCAUGUGUAUGUAUAUAUACAUGUGUGUAUAUGCAUGUGUAUAUGUGUGUAUGUAUAUAUGCAUGUGUGUAUGUAUAUAUGUAUGUGUAUAUAUAUGUAUGCAUGUGUAUGUAUAUAUGCAGGUAUACACAUGUGUAUGCAUAUGUGUAUGUAUAUAUGUAUGUGUGUAUGUAUAUAUGCAAGUGUGUAUGUAUACAUGCAUGUGUGCAUAUGUGAAUAUGUGUAUGUAUAUAUGUAUGUGCGUAUGUAUAUUGCAUGUGUGUAUGUGUAUAUGCGUGUGUGUAUGUCUAUAUGUAUGCGUGUGUAUGUAUACAUGCAUGUGUGUAUGUGUAUAUGCAUGUGUGUAUGUAUAUAUGCAUGUGUGUGUAUGUAUGCAUGCAUGUGUGCGUAUAUAUGCAUGGGUGUAUAUGCAUAUGUGUAUGUAUAUAUGCAUAUGUGUAUGUAUAUAUGUAUGUGUAUAUGCAUGUGUGUAUAUGCAUGUGUGUAUGUAUAUAUGCAUGUGGGUAUGUGUAUAUGUAUGCAUGUGUGUGUAUGUAUAUAUGCAUGUGUGUGUAUGUAUACAUGCAUGUGUGUAUGUAUAUAUGCAUGUGUGUAUGUGUAUAUGCAUGUGUGUAUGUCUAUAUGUAUGUGUAUGUAUAUAUGCAUGUGUUGUAUGUA
rnacentral:lncRNA from 1 species